GGCAUUACCUCAGACUUCCAAUCUGAUGAUGUGAGUUCGAUUCUCAUUAUCCGCUCCAAUUUAAUUUACUCCGU
rnacentral:tRNA from 1 species